GUGGCUAGCAGGCUAGGGUAGUUAGAAUCAAGGGGAGGUAGUGGGCUGGGAUGAAUGAAUUUCCUCCCCUUUUUUUUCCUAAUAUUUCUUUUAUUUUUUUACAGAUUCCAAUUUUCUACAAAAUUUUACAAAGAAAUGUUCAUGUACCCUUUUCAUCAUGAACUUCCCACAGAUUUUAGAUUAAUAAUCCUACCCACUUUCUCUAUUUUGAUUUUUUUCCUCCUAAUUCUUUUUUUUUUAUAAAUGAAAUUUGAAAAAGCCUUCUUUCUGGGUUUGGGUUUUAGCCAUAUUUGUAUUUUAUUCUUUUGGUGGGACAAGAUAAUAUUCCAAGAGAUGCAUAUUGAGGCAAUGCAAGUUAAUCUGGAAGAUCUCUGAAGGCAUAAGAAGUAAGAGCAUAAGCAUCAUGUGAUUCAAUUUGGGGUGGUUGUACUGAUAAGAGUGGGGUUGGCGGCACUACUUGGGG
rnacentral:lncRNA from 1 species